rnacentral:rRNA from 1 species
AGUGAACGCUGGCGGUAGGCCUAACACAUGCAAGUCGAACGGCAGCACAGUAAGAGCUUGCUCUUACGGGUGGCGAGUGGCGGACGGGUGAGGAAUACAUCGGAAUCUACUUUUUCGUGGGGGAUAACGUAGGGAAACUUACGCUAAUACCGCAUACGACCUACGGGUGAAAGCAGGGGAUCUUCGGACCUUGCGCGAUUGAAUGAGCCGAUGUCGGAUUAGCUAGUUGGCGGGGUAAAGGCCCACCAAGGCGACGAUCCGUAGCCGGUCUGAGAGGAUGGUCAGCCACACUGGAACUGAGACACGGUCCAGACGCCUACGGGAGGCAGCAGUGGGGAAUAUUGGACAAUGGGCGCAAGUCUGAUCCAGCCAUACCGCGUGGGUGAAGAAGGCCUUCGGGUUGUAAAGCCCUUUUGUUGGUAAAGAAAAGCAGCAGGUUAAUACCCCGCUGUUCUGACGGUACCCAAAGAAUAAGCACCGGCUAACUUCGUG